AUUGAACGCUGGCGGCAGGCCUAACACAUGCAAGUCGAACGGUAGCACAGAGAGCUUGCUCUCGGGUGACGAGUGGCGGACGGGUGAGUAAUGUCUGGGAAACUGCCCGAUGGAGGGGGAUAACUACUGGAAACGGUAGCUAAUACCGCAUAACGUCGCAAGACCAAAGUGGGGGACCUUCGGGCCUCACACCAUCGGAUGUGACCAGAUGGGAUUAGCUAGUAGGUGGGGUAAUGGCUCACCUAGGCGACGAUCCCUAGCUGGUCUGAGAGGAUGACCAGCCACACUGGAACUGAGACACGGUCCAGACUCCUACGGGAGGCAGCAGUGGGGAAUAUUGCACAAUGGGCGCAAGCCUGAUGCAGCCAUGCCGCGUGUAUGAAGAAGGCCUUCGGGUUGUAAAGUACUUUCAGCGGGGAGGAAGGCGGUGAAGUUAAUAACUUCACCGAUUGACGUUACCCGCAGAAGAAGCACCGGCUAACUCCGUGCCAGCAGCCGCCGUAAAAC
rnacentral:rRNA from 1 species